ACCCUUUAAUGUUUGAUGUUCUAACGUGGACCCGUGAUCCGGGUUGCGGACAGUGUCUGGUGGGUAGUUUGACUGGGGCGGUCUCCUCCUAAAGAGUAACGGAGGAGCACGAAGGUUGGCUAAUCCUGGUCGGACAUCAGGAGGUUAGUGCAAUGGCAUAAGCCAGCUUGACUGCGAGCGUGACGGCGCGAGCAGGUGCGAAAGCAGGUCAUAGUGAUCCGGUGGUUCUGAAUGGAAGGGCCAUCGCUCAACGGAUAAAAGGUACUCCGGGGAUAACAGGCUGAUACCGCCCAAGAGUUCAUAUCGACGGCGGUGUUUGGCACCUCGAUGUCGGCUCAUCACAUCCUGGGGCUGAAGUAGGUCCCAAGGGUAUGGCUGUUCGCCAUUUAAAGUGGUACGCGAGCUGGGUUUAGAACGUCGUGAGACAGUUCGGUCCCUAUCUGCCGUGGGCGCUGGAGAACUGAGGGGGGCUGCUCCUAGUACGAGAGGACCGGAGUGGACGCAUCACUGGUGUUCGGGUUGUCAUGCCAAUGGCACUGCCCGGUAGCUAAAUGCGGAAGAGAUAAGUGCUGAAAGCAUCUAAGCACGAAACUUGCCCCGAGAUGAGUUCUCCCUGAGACUUAGAGUCUC
rnacentral:rRNA from 1 species